AUUGAACGCUGGCGGCAGGCCUAACACAUGCAAGUCGAGCGAGCGGCGGACGGGUGAGUAAUGUCUGGGGAACUGCCCGAUGGAGGGGGAUAACUACUGGAAACGGUGGCUAAUACCGCAUACUAUCAGAUGUGCCCAUAUGGGAUUAGCUAGUAGGUGGGGUAAUGGCUCACCUAGGCGACGAUCCCUAGCUGGUCUGAGAGGAUGAUCAGCCACACUGGGACUGAGACACGGCCCAGACUCCUACGGGAGGCAGCAGUGGGGAAUAUUGCACAAUGGGCGCAAGCCUGAUGCAGCCAUGCCGCGUGUAUGAAGAAGGCCUUAGGGUUGUAAAGUACUUUCAGCGGGGAGGCGUUACUCGCAGAAGAAGCACCGGCUAACUCCGUGCCAGCAGCCGCGGUAAUAC
rnacentral:rRNA from 1 species